GAUGAAGAACGCAGCGAAAUGCGAUAAGUAAUGUAAAUUGCAGAAUUCAGUGAAUCAUCGAAUCUUUGAACGCACAUUGCGCCCCCUGGUAUUCCGGGGGGCAUGCCUGUCCGAGCGUCAUUACAACCCUCAAGCUCAGCUUGGUGUUGGGCCCCGCCGCCCCGGCGGGCCCUAAAGUCAGUGGCGGUGCCGUCCGGCUCCGAGCGUAGUAAUUCUUCUCGCUCUGGAGGUCCGGUCGUGUGCUCGCCAGCAACCCCCAAUUUUUUUCAGGUUGACCUCGGAUCAGGUAGGGAUACCCGCUGAACUUAAGCAUAUCAAUAAGCGGAGGA
rnacentral:misc_RNA from 1 species